rnacentral:rRNA from 1 species
CCUACGGGUGGCAGCAGUGAGGAAUAUUGGUCAAUGGACGAGAGUCUGAACCAGCCAAGUAGCGUGAAGGAUGACUGCCCUAUGGGUUGUAAACUUCUUUUAUAUGGUAAUAAAAUGUUCCACGUGUGGGAUUUUGUAUGUACCAUAUGAAUAAGGAUCGGCUAACUCAGUGCCAGCAGCGGCGGUAAUACGGAGGAUCCGAGCGUUAUCCGGAUUUAGUGGGUUUAACGGGAGCGUAGGUGGGUUGUUAAGUCAGUUGUGAAAGUUUGCGGCUCAACCGUAAAAUUGCAGUUGAAAAUGGCAGUGUUGAGUACAGUAGAGGUGGGCGGAAUUCGUGGUGUAGCGGUGAAAUGCUUAGAUAUCACGCAGAACUCCGAUUGUGAAGGCAGCUCACUGGACUGCAACUGACACUGAGGCUCGAAAGUGUGGGUAUCAAACAGGAUUAGAUACCCUAGUAGUC